UCUUCUUAAUAUAUAUAGUUAAUACAGUAUUAUAAUUUGUAAUUUAUCGUAGUAGUUGACUGGUUGUUAUUUGUUAAUAACUUAAUAUUUCUAUUAUUUUAAAAAUGUGAUUAAGAUUAGAGCACAUGUUUGCACGAGCUUCUAUGAUAGAUUUCUAUUUAUGCUCGAAAUUUAGAUCGAUUGUAAUUUGUAACAAUUAGAUCACCCCCUCGGUCCCUCCCUCAUUCCGCCGUCCGAUCCUCAGAGUUGUCUGCCGGAGUACCAAACCAAUUACUAAAUUUUUAGCCAGUCGAUCAGCGCCUGUAAUUAAUGGAUAAAAUGAUGAUUAUGAGAAACGAUAGAAGAACAUCGCCGAAAUUGAAUCGAGAAAAGAAGACACGCACGUCUAUAUGUCGAGGAUCACAUGCGAUGAUGAAGAUGGAGCCGAAGAAGAUACGGAUCAUCCAUGUAUUCACACCAGAGGUAAUUAAGACAGACAUCGCC
rnacentral:lncRNA from 1 species